ACAUUGAAUAUAGCUCCCUGUACUGUGCAGUGGGACCCUGCUGUUUAUCCAACCUGAAUAUCCAUCUGCUAACCCCACUCUCAUUCCAUCCCUCCCCCCAGGCAACCACAAGCCUGUUCUCUGUGUCUGCGAUCAUAUCAGUUUUCUUGUGGUUUCUUGUGGUUGCUAUUUGCCUGGUGUGUGUGUGUGUGUGUGUGUGUGUGUGUGUGUGUGUGUGUGUGUCAUAUUGACAAAAUGUUAAACUUUUUAAAAAGACCGAAAAUCUUUUUUUGGUCUUUUCAACUGCAGCUUUUAGUUCACUUAUAUUUAACAUACUGAUAAUUUUAUUUAUUUCUGCCAUCUAAUCUUACUUCUUUAAUUGCCUUGACUUUUCUAUAGUCAUUUUCCUCCCUUUUUAAGUGGGAGUAUCAGUUAGUUUUCUUCCCUUCUGCUUUUCCUGCCGCCAGUACUUAGUCGUAGAUUCUAUUUCCGUUCUUUUAAUGCUUUUACUAAAAAUUAUAACACUUGCACUUAAGAUUUCAGUGUUUAGCAUGUAAUCAGUGUCUUUGUUCUCCAGUGCUCUAGAUUAUAUUUCCUUUCCUGUGUUUGGAUUUGUUAGACUUAGCGAAUCUGUGGAUUUAUGUUUUUCACCACGAAAGGAGAAUUCAGAGAUGCUAUUUCGUUAAAUGCCGUGGUGUCGUUCUCUCUCUUUUGCUCCAGUCGCCUUUGUUCUGUUCUCCCUUUCCUUUAGGGACUAUAAUUAGAUGAAUACUCUUCUUCUUUAUCUGUGGUGACAUUUGUUCUCUUCUUCACAUUUCAUCCUCCUGGACUCUCUGGACUGUCUUCUGCAUAAUUUCUUCAUCUAAAUUUCCGAUUCACUAAUUUUCUUCUUAUCAGUGUCCAAUUUGCUGUUAUGCAUGUUUAUUUACCUUUGAUUUUAAACAUUUUGGUUUUUUUUUAUAACAGUUGUUAUACAUCACUUCUUCUUUGUUCAUUUUCAACCCUUUUAUACCUUUAAUGAGUAUUUUUUUUUUCUUUUUUGGCUGCCCCAAGGCAUAAAGAGUUCCUGGGCCAGGGAUCAGAGCUGAGCCACAGCUGCAACCUACCCCACAGCUGCAGCAAUGCCAGAUCCUUUAACCCACUGUGCCGUGCUGGGGAUCAAACCCGAAUCCUGGCUCUGCAGAGAUGCUGCUGAUCCUGUUGUGCUGCAGUGGGAACUCCUUUAAUGAAAAUUACAUAUGCUUAUUUCAUGUUCUAACUUUGAUAAUAAUUCCAUAUCUUAUGUUUUUGAUCUGUUUCUUUUUAUCCUUUUCUUCUGGCUGCCAUACAUGUUUCCUUGCUCUGUGUGUGUGUGUGUGUGUGUGUGUGUGCAUGCACGUAUGUGUUUUCUAUGCACAUGUGAUAUUUUUUAACUGGAACCUUGUGUUUCUGGGAACUUCAUCUGUCGUGAUCUUGGGUCUGUGUUCCUGCUGCCAGGCACCAAGGCCCAUCAGUCACCAACCUGGAGCCACUUUAAAGGAAAUAUUCAACUUGAAACUUUUAAGGCUAGCACAGUUGUGUGAGUUUGGGCUGCACACUCACGUGGGGAUGUUCUGUGGCUAUGAACUCUCAGGAAAGUAUUUCUUGUUUUCCAUUUAGUGCCAGGAUCGAGAGAGGCAACUUUAUCAUCUCCUAGCUGUGAGGUUAUGUCUUUCUCACCUUACUAUGAGCGUGAUUGGGCUGUUUUCUGUAGACUCCUUGGAACCUCGGGCUUCCCCAUCCCCUGUGCCAUGGGGCUCUUGAACACAAAUCCACUUUUUAUAGAAUAUGCCAUCAAGGUGAGAGCCGACUUGCCUCCCUGAGUUUCUUAUUAUUCGGCCUCUGAAUAUGCUUUGUCUUUUUGCCAUUUUUUUUUUUUUGGCCACAUCUGCAGCAUGUGCAAGUUCCUGGGCCAGGGAUCAAACCCACGCCACAGCAGUGACUCUAUUCCCAGCAGUGACGAUGCUGGAUCCUUAACCUGCUGAGCCACCAGGGAACUCUGCUUUUUUGGCUCUCUUAUCAAUGCUUUUAAAGAGAUGUUCUGGCACCCUUUUUUCUCGUCUUCAGGGGGAGAAUGGGAGGAUAUUAAGGCACCAUACAGCUGACAGCUGGGACUGUCUUACCUCUUUACACUGGCUGCUUAAGGACAACUGCAGUGGAAAAGAGCCGAGAGGAUCCCAGAAGCUCAAGACCUCCUAGCUCCCCUACCUCAGGAUGGGGACAGGAAAAGGAUGAAUGAGAUAUUCAGUUUCAGCUCCUUCUCACUGAGUGGCAUGCCCUGUGUUGCUUUAUAGACUAGAAAUUCCCAGACAACGGAGAUGCCUUUUAUUUUGUUAUGCGAAGUGCCCUCUGUAACAUCAAUCCCAUUAUGAUCCUGGAUUUUUAUCAGCUACUGGGCAUACAAUUCAUUUUAUUGGCCCCACACCAAGAGCUGAGUUUGUCUCUAAUAGAAGGAUUUUGGCAUUGCGUGGAUCUGGGCCCUAACUUCUGGUCUGAUACUUUACAGCAGUGUGACUUCUGAGUCUUAGAUUCUGUUUCUAAAGGGGAGUCAGUCAUACCUUCUUAGGGUGCUGUAGGGAUUAAAUACAAAACUGUAAAUAACUUGGCUACAUUAAGUAUUUAGUAGGGGGUAGCCUUUUCACGGAUGUUUAAUUUUUUCCCAGUGGCUUUAGGAUUACAGAAUUCUAGGAUUAGAGGAGGCGAGAAGAACCUGAUCUCAGGCAAAAGUUGUGCUUAAAAUAAGCUAGAGCAUUUAGUUUCUAAGUUCUGUUUCAGAAGCCGUUUAGCACCUCGAUCUAGAAUUUAAUCUAACUGCUCUUACUUCAUUUCAUUUUACUGCCGGCAGCCUGCGAUGCUAUCACGAAAAGUUAACAAAGGUAUUUCUGACGGAAGAUUUCGGGAAGGACCUGAGGAAUGCCACCGGAAAGUUCCGAGGAACUCAGGCUUCACUGCCUUCGGGGCAAACAGAGGAAGGUUCUCUUCUAGGACCCGAGUCUGGACAUGCAUACCAGAGGGACCUUGGUAUUUUUACCACCUCUAGACAUUCCUGGAUUUUCUCAUAGCGUGUCCUCUUUCUGGCCAACCCCAGGAAAUUAGCACCCAAGAGAGUAUAGACUGGUUCCCGUAAAAUCCGGUCUGGAGCGUAACGUGAAUAAGACGUGAUUCCCCUGCAUGGAAUAAACGCAUCUUCACAUAGGCACCCAGGCUGGUCCUUCGGACACUGCCCAUCUCAGACUGGGUAGUGGGGUAAGAGAGGGCGGAAGACAUUGAUACAAAACGCAAAGGCCAUUUUGGGAAACAGUGUUUGGCAUGGCCAGAGAGUAGAGACAGAUGAGUUAGAAAUAAUAGGGAAUGAGUUCCCACUGUGGUUCAGUGGGUUAAGAACCCAACAUAGUGUCCUCGAGGUUGUGGGUUCGAUCCCCGGCUUGGCUCAGUGGGUUAAGGAUCCAGUGUUGCCCCAAGCUGUGGCGUAGGUCACAGAUGUGUCUGGAAUCCAACGUUGCCGUGGCUAUGGUGUAAAUUGCAGCUGCCCCUCUGAUUCAACCCCUAGCCUGGGAACCUCCAUGUGCUAUGGAUGUGGCCCUAAAAAGAAAAAUAAAGAAACAAAGGAACAAAAGCAGAGGACGCGUGGAGCCCAGGGAGGAGGGCUAAUACUUUCAUGAGGUUACGAUGAUAAAAUCUGGCUCCUCUGAAUUACGGGAACACCUUCCCUCUUGCCUCUUCAUGCUGUUUUAACCUUUUAUUUGUAUUAUAAGUAUUUAUAGCUCAGCCUGUGUCUCUUGUAAGAUUUUAAGCAUCUCCCAGGCAAGACCGGCACAAUCCUAGCAUUAACUCGCAUUCCUGUGGCCACUCAUGCUUCUGACCAUUAAAUACACACAAAAGACGGAGCCACAAUAUUAAUUAUGGUUGCUGAUACUCUUGGUCAAGUAAUUAUUGCUGGACACCCUUAGUCAUGAAAAGGGCUUAAGGUUCAAAUUGCCUUGGAAAUGUCUCAGAAGAAAAGAAAUUGAAGGGGAUGAAGCUUAUCUUGGAGUCCAAUGCGAUUCAAUUCAUUUCCACUUAAGAAUCCUAUUCUGGGGAGUUCCCAUCGUGGCAAGGCGGAAAUGAAUCCUACUAGGAACCAUGAGGUUUCCAUCCCUGGCCUCACUCAGUGGGUUAAGGAUCCAGCAUGGCCGUGAGCCGUGGUGUAGGUCACAGACGUGGCUUGGACCCGGCAUGGUUGUGGCUGUGGUGUAGGCCGGCAGCUACAGCUCUGAUUUGACCCCUAGCCUGGGAACUUCCAUAUGCCACAGGUGCAACCGUAAAAAAAAAAAAUAAUAAUAAUAAUAAUU
rnacentral:lncRNA from 1 species